UGAGAUAUUCUGAGCAAGCAU
rnacentral:miRNA from 1 species